AUACAUACCAUUCACACGCACCGGCAAUCUGGCAGCUCCAAUUCACCUCAGCAUGUUCUCGGAUUGUUGGGGAAACGGGAGAGCCCUCAAGUCAUCAGCACCGCGGACGCCGUACAGCUUUCAUGUGACACGAGGUUAUUCCCGAGGUGCUCAGAAGGGGGCACCAUUCGCUAAACCAUAACCCCAAGACGGGAACUACUCGCCUUUUCGCUGUUUUCCUAUUCAUCACCGGGUAAUAGAGGGCAAAACGAAGUUAAUCAGAAACGCAACGGCUCCCCGGUCACCGAGGCCAUGUACUAUAAAUGGAAGAUGGAUAGAUGGAUCGUUUUAUGAAGUAUAUCCUGCACUUAAGCAGCUUCGGUACCCACUGAAGCAUACUCUAGUGGCCAGAGCCAGACAUGGGAGCUUAUGGGACCAGAUGCCAAACAGAUUUUAAAGAGCAGUUAGACAGUGCGAGUCUUGGGACCCUCCGAGGUCCACCUGGGAUUGGACUCCGUUCGUGGUUCUCCUGAAUUCCUCGUCUUCCAACACACGUGUCGUUCUGCAGUCACCGGUUUGCUGCUGCAUGUGUGUAGUCGAGCCUCUGUUUACACUGUAACUCUGUACAUAUUUAUCAUCUUGGUAAUUGCAGUUCUGUCCUGCAGAGAAUUACUCAUGGGAAAAAAUCAGUAGGUCCCUAAAAUGGACAACUUACAUUCACAUAAAGAGCAGGAUUAUGACACGCUUUGUAAACUGGAUUUCUGUAAAAUGACAUGCUGCCAGUCCUGCUUUACUUAUUACCUAAUUAAGCUUCUUGUUCUGGGGAAAAAAAGAAGCUUAUUUUAAUUGUGCCGUUUGCCCUUUAGUGUAAAUGCAUUGAUUGGAUUUCGGAAUGUUUGACCUCUGAAAACAUUUGUGGUCGUCUGCAGGAAUAAGACGGAUACAAAGUAUCAAACCGCAUCAUUAGGUUCCGUUUUUGAAGGCCGUCACAAAAACCAUGCCUGAGGAAAUGUCUGCGCUAUCAGCAUGCAGCUCGCAAAUAAUAAAGAAGAAUAAUUUAACCUUGAGAUUUCGAAUUUACUUAACACAUUUUGGAUUGUUAUAGUCAGCCUUGAAUUUGAUACGUAUUGAAGAACUGCAGCUAGCACAUAUUUUUUUUAGCACAUUUUGGAUUGCUAAAGGUAGCGUUUAAUUUAGUAUAUUUUAGAAUACUAUGGCUAGUUUGGGUUAAAAAUAACACAAACUAAGAACACCUUCCAAUGCCACUGAAUUAAUCUGUCCGUGGAUUAUCCUCCGAUUACCUUGGUAGAAAUUUUUGUGUUUUGCCAAAGUGAAACAAUAGUAUGAUCAUUUUUAUUCAUGUGCGUCAAUAACCAGUGAAAUGUUGGGCAGCCUGCUGUUUUGAUAUGAUCUAGAACAUAGAUCAUAGAUCUUUCUUGUUCUCUGUUCACAUACAACCUGUUGUUAUUUUAUUCUCUAUUUCUUGUACUCGUGUCCGAAACGUAAAAACAUGUUUCUGUUGAUAGGUAUUUAAGGUUUAUGUUAAACUGGUAGGAUGAAGCUUGUGCUUGGAAAUUAAAUGUUUAAUGGGUCCUCAGUUCACAGCUCUUUCCCUUACUAUAUGCAAACACUAUCAUGUUAUCUGACGGCUGAUCGCUGAAGUAGUUUAACGAGAGACACUCGACUCUGAAUUAAAUUAAAAUGGUCAGGCAUGACCAGAUUGUCUAAUAUCUCACUUUAUCUUUUCUUCUUCGGAGGUUUGAGGAAUCCCCCCUCACCUAUUGUCGUUUAUGAUGUACUGUGACAUUUCAGUCUCGGCUAGGACCAUCCAACCCGUGAAUAACAGCAUCUCAACGAUGUCGGAAAAUCUUUGUUUAUUUAUUUAUUUGUUUUAUCGCAGUCAGAUCGAGGGCUGGCGUUAAUUGCUUCAUUCGGUUCACUUUGCGUGCCAUUUAUUUAUUUAUUUUUUUGUUGUGGCAGAAGAUAAUCUCUGAGUACUCCACAUCUUCGGAGUAUCACCAAAUACAAUAAUUAAAAAUCGUAAUUUAUCAAAUGUGAAGUAUUUUCGAGACUUCAUUAAAAAAUUUCUUAAAAACUGAAAACAACAAGGAAGUUCCAGAAAGGUAAUGAUGAAAUGGUGAUGUAACUGUAACUAAUAUGCCAUACAUUCAGCAUGUGUGCCUCUUUUCCCUCUCUCUCUAGAAAUAUUUUCUGCUUAUGUUGUAUGUUCAGACCUUAACAAAAGGCAAGCCUACAGUUGCCCAAACACAGUGUGAUGUUGCUAUUGCUGACAGACAGGUUGCAGUAUCUCCACUGUGUAGUUUGCUUUUUUUUUUCUCUUUUUCUCUGUAACUGUGAUUUAAAACGAAUAAUUUGUUACGCUUCAAUAUAUGGUAUUUAGAAAAUUGUUAUGUCAUUGAAAAUGUUAAUUUUCUGUGCUGCUUCUUCAGCCACAAAUCAUGUUCUCUGACACUCCGCAAUCGUUCUUUUUCUGUUCUGUGAUAUGCAGCAAACACAUUGCAUGCCUUCUGUUAUACUCAGUAAACACGCUGCAUGUGUUCUCUCACACCCAGUAAGCAGAGUACUGCUGUUCUCAUACUCAGUAAACAUACUGCUUGUAUCCUCUUACACUCGGUAAGUACGCUGCAUGAGUUCUGUUAUGUUCAGUAAACACACUGCUUAUGUUCUGUUAAACUCUGUCAGUGCAGUGCUGCUCUUCUCCUACUCAGUAAACACACUGCAUGUGUUCUCUUACACUCAGUAAAGACACUGCAUGUGUUCCGUUAUGUUCAGUAAGCACAUUGUUGCUGUUCUGUCAUACUCAAUGAUACUCUUAAUAAAAAGUGAUCAUUUUCACAGAAAA